GAGUUUGAUCCUGGCUCAGAGUGAACGCUGGCGGCAGGCCUAACACAUGCAAGUCGAGCGGCAGCGCGGGGGCAACCCUGGCGGCGAGCGGCGGACGGGUGAGGAAUGCAUCGGAAUCUACCUCGUUGUGGGGGAUAACCUCGGGAAACCGGGACUAAUACCGCAUACGACCUACGGGUGAAAGUGGGGGACCGCAAGGCCUCACGCGAUGAGAUGAGCCGAUGCCGGAUUAGCUAGUUGGCGGGGUAAAGGCCCACCAAGGCGACGAUCCGUAGCUGGUCUGAGAGGAUGAUCAGCCACACUGGAACUGAGACACGGUCCAGACUCCUACGGGAGGCAGCAGUGGGGAAUAUUGGACAAUGGGCGCAAGCCUGAUCCAGCCAUGCCGCGUGUGUGAAGAAGGCCUCGGUUG
rnacentral:rRNA from 1 species